rnacentral:rRNA from 1 species
GGGGAAUUUUCCGCAAUGGGGGCAACCCUGACGGAGCAAUACCGCGUGGGGGAGGAAGGCCCUUGGGUUGUAAACCCCUUUUCUCAGGGAAGAAUAACUGACGGUACCUGAGGAAUCAGCCUCGGCUAACUCCGUGCCAGCAGCCGCGGUAAGACGGAGGAGGCAAGCGUUAUCCGGAAUCAUUGGGCGUAAAGCGUCCGUAGGUGGUCCUUCAAGUCUGCUGUCANNGCCCAGGGCUCAACCCUGGAGAGGCAGUGGAAACUGAAGGACUUAGAGUGCGGUAGGGGUAGAGGGAAUUCCCGGUGUAGCGGUGAAAUGCGUAGAGAUCGGGAAGAACACCAGUGGCGUAAGCGCUCUACUGGACCGCAACUGACACUGAGGGACGAAAGCUAGGGGAGCGAAUGGGAUUAGAUACCCCAGUAGUC